rnacentral:rRNA from 1 species
AAGUCGUAACAAGGUUUCCGUAGGUGAACCUGCGGAAGGAUCAUUACCGUUACUCUGUGUCUUGCACACACUGUAAACCACUGUGAACUGUUCCGAGCUUGUGGGGUGGUUCUUCUUUGCAGGAGAAUCUCAAAUGCAGUUAGACAGCCGAGGCUGGCUGCUGCGGCCCCACAUGUCUGUCUCUUAUGUUUUUCAAAACACUCGUCAAUUCAUUCCAGUUGAAUAGUAUCACUCUGGCCAGUCCAGUUUGAUACACAGUUUAAACACAUGACAACUUCUAACGGUGGAUCUCUUGGCUCGUGCAUCGAUGAAGAACGUAGCCAGUUGCGAUAAGUAGUGUGAAUUGCAGAAUUCAGUGAAUCAUCGAAUCUUUGAACGCAAAUUGCGCUCUCUGGAUAUCCAGGGAGCAUGCCUGUCUGAGUGUCGUGAUAAAAACUACACACCCCUGGUGUGGCAUGUGGGUAUCGAGUUUGCAGAUUGCUCAGGCGUUCUGUACUAAACUCGUCCUGCGAAGUGCGUGAACCUGAAUGUGCUGCUGACUGCAUGUGCAUUGGGAAGGCUCAACUUGCUUCUGUCUUUCCCUCUGCGUUCUCAUGCCAGCAGUAUCAUUGUAGAUGGUGAACAAGACGGUGUCCCACCCAUGGGGCGGGCACGAUGUCAAUUUCUGAUUUUGACCUCAGAUCAGACAAGACUACCCGCUGAAUUUAAGCAUAUCAAUAAGCGGAGGAAAUCACUA